AACGCUAGCUACAGGCUUAACACAUGCAAGUCGAGGGGCAGCAUGUUGGUUGCUUGCAACCAAUGAUGGCGACCGGCGCACGGGUGAGUAACGCGUAUCCAACCUUCCCCUUACUCGGGUCCAGCCCGUUGAAAGACGGAUUAAUCCCCGAUGCUCUCAUAUACUGGCAUCAGUUUAUGAGCAAAGAUUUAUCGGUUAUGGAUGGGGAUGCGUCUGAUUAGCUUGUUGGCGGGGUAACGGCCCACCAAGGCAACGAUCAGUAGGGGUUCUGAGAGGAAGGUCCCCCACAUUGGAACUGAGACACGGUCCAAACUCCUACGGGAGGCAGCAGUGAGGAAUAUUGGUCAAUGGGCGAGAGCCUGAACCAGCCAAGUAGCGUGCAGGAAGACGGCCCUAUGGGUUGUAAACUGCUUUUAUACAGGAAUAAAGUUAGCCACGUGUGGUUAUUUGUAGGUACUGUAUGAAUAAGGACCGGCUAAUUCCGUGCCAGCAGCCGCGGUAAUACGGAAGGUCCAGGCGUUAUCCGGAUUUAUUGGGUUUAAAGGGAGCGUAGGCCGUCUGUUAAGCGUGUUGUGAAAUGUAGAUGCUCAACAUCUGAAUUGCAGCGCGAACUGGCAGACUUGAGUGUGCGCAACGUAGGCGGAAUUCGUGGUGUAGCGGUGAAAUGCUUAGAUAUCACGAAGAACUCCGAUUG
rnacentral:rRNA from 1 species